rnacentral:rRNA from 1 species
UACGUAGGGUGCGAGCGUUAAUCGGAAUUACUGGGCGUAAAGCGUGCGCAGGCGGUUCGUGAUGUCUGGUGUGAAAGCCCCGGGCUUAACCUGGGAAUUGCAUUGGAAACUAGCGGGCUGGAGUGUGGCAGAGGGGGGUGGAAUUCCACGUGUAGCAGUGAAAUGCGUAGAGAUGUGGAGGAACACCGAUGGCGAAGGCAGCCCCCUGGGCUAACACUGACGCUCAUGCACGAAAGCGUGGGGAGCAAACGGG